AGGAGCCUGGUCUCAGGGGAGAUGUCGGAGUCACCAGAAAGCUGACACAGGGACACGGUGUGCAAAAGGCACAGUAGGCUCACAUUCAGAGGGAAGGUAAAAGGAGGUUGCUAUAACAACAGACCAUCAGAUGGCUGCUUAUGUACAACAGGAAGUUAUUUCUUACAGUUUUGGAGGCUGGAUGUCUAAGAUGAAGGUGCUGCAGAUCCCAUGUCUGGUGCAAGUCCACUUCCUGUUCCACACGGUGGAAGGAGUCAUGGCCUCUCUCAGAGAUGGGCUCAGAUAACAUCAAUCAUCAGGGUCUACCCCCAUGAUGUAAUCCUAAUCAUCUCCCUAAUCCAUACCUGCCAAUAUGGUUGCCUUGGGAGUGAGGAGGUUGGGAGGGGACAACCAACAGGACUGUGUGAGUCUUUCCAUCAGGCUUCCGUUGCUCUCCCACUGUGGACAUCAUAGUGUACUCACACCUUCGCAAACGCCUUUUGUUUGCUUCUGUGGGUGUGUGGCGCUGGGAAGGGAACCUCAGGUCCUGUCCUGUGCGUGCUAGGCAAAUGCCCUAACACUGAGCCACACCUCCAGCACUACUGGAAACCAGCUUCUCUGUAACACACAGUUUCUAUGUCCAAACUUUCAAAUGAUUAUCUUAUGUUUGGAUGGUUGCAUUAGAUCUAAAAACUUAAAAGAAACACCGAUUAAUUGGCACAUGUGAUACAGGCCAUGAUGAAGCCUGGGGACAGUCUCAUUGAAUAAAUUAAUUGACACUA